UGGUCUCAUAGCUCAGUCGGUUAGAGCAUCUGACUCAUAAUCAGAGGGUCGUUGGUUCGAGCCCAACUGGGACCACAAA
rnacentral:tRNA from 1 species